rnacentral:tRNA from 1 species
AGGUCAGUAGCUCAAUUGGUAGAGCGGCGGUCUCCAAAACCGCAGGUCGCGGGUUCGAUUCCUGCCUGGCCUG